GAUGUUCUCGAUUGUAGAGGGGGAAGGAGGCUGCCGUUGUGUGAAUUAAAUGAGGAAACACGAUGAACAAAAUCUGUUAACUCAGGGAGGGAGGGAGAAAAAACAUGAAGGGAGGGGGAAGAAAGAGUGGGGAAGAGCAAGUGGAGAGAGAGAAAGAGAAAAAGAAGGGAGGGGGAAGAGAGACAGAAGGAAGGGCAAGGGACGGGCCUGAGCCUGUCAGCAGCCUGAGGGGAAUGAGCGGCCAUGGCAGCACUAGCAGCGAGGAAGGGUCCAGUUAACCACUGCUGCUGUUUGGGGCUACCAAGGCCAUUGUCAGAGGGAGGCAGGCAGGCAAGGGAUGGGCCUGGGCCUGGGCCUGUCAGCGGCCUGAGGGGAACGAGCGGCCAUGGUGGUGGCAGCAGCGAGGAACGGCCCGGUCAACCACUGCUGCUGCUCCUGGGGGGAGGAGCAGGAGCGGGGAUAGGGUGAGGAGGUCUCUGGGGAUAGGGAUAGGGAGCGAGCGUGCGGCAGGGGAGGGAGAGCGAGUGAGCCAGCGGCAGUGGGGAGAGCGAGUGAGUGAGCGAGUGGCAGGGGGUGAGUGAGCAAAUGAGCGAGCAGCGGGGGGUGAGCAAGCAGCAGGGGAAAGCGAGCGAGCGGCAGGGGGGAGAGCGAACGAGUGGAGGGGGGAGAGCGAGCGAGUGAGCGAGCAGCGGUGGGAGAGCGAGCAGUGGGGGGAGAGCGAGCGGCAGGGGGGAGAGCGAGCGAUCAAGGGCGCUGCAGGGGGAUGCCACAAGUUCAGUGCACAGAUGCUCUGUGCGGGGUCAGCUAUUAAGGAAUUAUUUCAUAAUGAGUACAGUCCAUUCCUUUGUGGGCCCACCACGGCAGAGUUGUUUCCCCUCAUCACCCUCAGCCACACACAUAAGGACAAACAUGCCUCAGUGCACUGGCUGUAACUUGAAGUUGGAUCCCCCCAGAGAUUGCCCCUUCUAUACCCGUCUAGCCGCCUUUCUCCUUGACAACUUACAGACUGAAGUCGUGGGGAAGAGAGAUGCAUGGGAGGCAGGUUAGAUAGUUAAGCCUUUCAGAAAAUUAAAAAAAGAAAAAGAAAUAUUGAUAGAAGGAACUCCAUUUGGUUUCCAAAACCUAAGCUAACAGUUCCAUAAAUGAACAGAUGAAGAGACAGACAGACAUGCUCAUUCCAUAGUUCCCAGAUUGCAUUGCAUGAUAUCAAAUAGGCACAAGUAUUAUUUUUUACAUUUUAUAUCCCGCUCUUCCUCCAAGGAGCCCAGAGCGAUGUACUACAUACUUGAGUUUCUCCUCACCACAACCCUGUGAAGUAGGUUAGGCUGAGAGAGAAGUGACUGGCCCAGAGUCACCCAGCUAGUAUCAUGGCUGAAUGGGGAUUUGAACUCGGGUCUCCCCAGUCCUAGUCCAGCACUCUAACCACUAAACCACACUGGCUCUCAAGUAGACCCACUGGAUGUGACACUGGGUUAGCCCUAAACUCAAGAACUGAUAUGACCAUUAGAGUAGCUUCUGUUUAGGGACUGUCUAUGUGAAAGUGAAAUAUUUAUAGUUAUUGGCCUCAGUCUUAUAAAGUUACAUGUGAGUACAUGUGGAAACUAUAUGUGAGAAUAUGUCUAUUGGAGAUAAUGGGCUUACUCUAGUUUAACAUCAUAUGUGUAAUAAAUUUUGCAUUUGAUCAACUUGCACAAUGUGUGCAUUACUAGGUUGACAUAACACUGCAUACAGCCACUGUAAUGCUGCCACAGUCCUACUGUGCCAGUUUCUUCACAACACAGUUAGGCCGGGUCAUACAUAAUGAGGAACUAAGGGUCCAGAGCUCCACCCACCCCCUGCUCUCUCAUACACGUUGGUACGCUCAGGAGAGCAGUCUCCCUGCAGUCAGUGAGACUGCAGAGAGGUGGGGGAGCUGGCUAUGUGGACUUCCUUUUUUCCUGAAGGACAGCCGGCACAGCCAAUAGGAGCCAGAGCAAUGGAGGAAUUUCCUCCCUUAACUUCUGUUUUAGAGAGGUGAAACUGUGUGCCAAGGUUCAUACGUAAUGCUGGUACAGGCAAACCGGAGGAUGAGCAGAUGAGACUUGGAGAGAACUGAAGGUCAUUGCUGGUGAUGACAUCUGCUGGCCUGCACUGUAUGAUUCUGUGAAAGCUGUGGGAUCGCUCUUUAGGAGCUGAGAUAGGACAUCAAUACACCUGAAGGAGGAAAAAAAGAGGACUGACUCACUACAGGAAGUACCUGAGGAGUCAAAACAAGAGUCAUAGAGGAGAGGCAAGCAGGGACAGGUUUUUCCACCUUCUGACUGUAAUUGAAACUGACAGGGAAAAGAGAGAAAAAGAAUAGAGAAGAGACAGAGAAAGAUCAAGUAUCAUUUUCCUGCCCGUGAGGACUUUGUCUGAAAACCCGGCUGCAUAUAAAAAUAUCUAUUUGUCUACAUAUUAUUUUGUAAAGCUCCAAAUUGCCUGUGACUUUGUA